UGUUGUAGUGUUGAUCCAAUUCUGCAGAGUAAAGCUGGGCUUAAGAGAUGGUGAUGUGAAAAUUUGUUCAUCCUAUGAUGUGACCCAAUCGCUGUUCAACCUUGACCAACCGGAAUUUAAAAGUUUCACAGAAAGAGACAGGGAAUAUCAAACACCAAUUAGAAGCAUAACAUCAAUGUCAAGUCUUAGCUACACCAAUACCAUUGAUGAGUCCAC